rnacentral:rRNA from 1 species
AUGGAGCAAGGAAGGAGGCAAGUGGCUACUGUUUCCUCUUUCUAUCAGUCUGCUUACCAAAAACUCCAUAGACAGAGCCAGAGGUUAUGGAGGGAAGGGGAGAUGGGUCAAUUAUUUGCGCCAAUCAUAUGCAACAUCGAAACGGCGGACACAGUGCGCAAAAUCUAUGUGGGAAUAGUAGUAAACCUAAUAAUCAGCGAAAGAACAUGCUUCAAGGAAAACCCUGAGGGAGAAGAGGAAACCUAUGUUCAGUUAAAGGACGUGCAUGCUUCAAGGAACUACCUACCUAGGAUGCUUGGGAUGGUUAAUGGCGGUGAAGGCCAAGAGGAAGCAGAGCACACAGGCAUGGCGUAUCAUCUCUGA